rnacentral:rRNA from 2 species
UGGAUCCAGACUUUGAUUAUGGCUCAGGAUGGACGCUAGCUACAGGCUUAACACAUGCAAGUCGAGGGGCAGCGGGAUUGAAGCUUGCUUCAAUUGCCGGCGACCGGCGCACGGGUGAGUAACGCGUAUCCAACCUUCCGUACACUCAGGGAUAGCCUUUCGAAAGAAAGAUUAAUACCUGAUGGUAUGAUGAGAUUGCAUGAUAGCAUCAUUAAAGAUUUAUCGGUGUACGAUGGGGAUGCGUUCCAUUAGGUAGUAGGCGGGGUAACGGCCCACCUAGCCAACGAUGGAUAGGGGUUCUGAGAGGAAGGUCCCCCACAUUGGAACUGAGACACGGUCCAAACUCCUACGGGAGGCAGCAGUGAGGAAUAUUGGUCAAUGGACGAGAGUCUGAACCAGCCAAGUAGCGUGAAGGAUGAAGGUCCUACGGAUUGUAAACUUCUUUUAUAAGGGAAUAAACCCUCCCACGUGUGGGAGCUUGUAUGUACCUUAUGAAUAAGCAUCGGCUAACUCCGUGCCAGCAGCCGCGGUAAUACGGAGGAUGCGAGCGUUAUCCGGAUUUAUUGGGUUUAAAGGGAGCGCAGACGGGUCGUUAAGCCAGCUGUGAAAGUUUGGGGCUCAACCUUAAAAUUGCAGUUGAUACUGGCGUCCUUGAGUGCGGUUGAGGUGUGCGGAAUUCGUGGUGUAGCGGUGAAAUGCUUAGAUAUCACGAAGAACUCCGAUUGCGAAGGCAGCACACUAAUCCGUAACUGACGUUCAUGCUCGAAAGUGUGGGUAUCAAACAGGAUUAGAUACCCUGGUAGUCCACACGGUAAACGAUGGAUACUCGCUGUUGGCGAUAUACUGUCAGCGGCUUAGCGAGAGCGUUAAGUAUCCCACCUGGGGAGUACGCCGGCAACGGUGCAACUCAAAGGAAUUGACGGA